AAGGCCAGGGAUCGAACCUGCGUUCUCAUGAUUACCAGUCAGAUUCGUUUCUGCUGAGCCAUGACAGGAAUUCCCAAACGGGCAUCCUUGACUCUAUUUACCCCUCAUCCUUCCAUCAGUGAAACUGCUCUGUUCCCGCAUCCUGCCCUUCUCACCACCUUGUCCAGCCCCAUCUUUGAUCCCUGGGACCAGCCCCCUGUGUGGUCCUGGACUCCUCACUUCCGCUCUCACAGGUUCAUCCCUGUGAGGUGGCCAGAGUCAGACUCAUCCUCCCUCUCUCCAGAACCCUCUAUGGCUCCCAUCUCCCUUGGGGUCAAAGCCCUGGCGGCAUUGCUGCUCCUGCUUCCUUUCCCCUCUUACCACACUCAGGCUGAAUCAACCUCCUCCAAGUGGAGGAGUCAGACACUCUCCUGCCUCAGGGACUUGGCACAGGCUGCGCCUCUGCCUGGCACCAUCUUCUCUGAGACACUCAGAUGUUCCCCCACCUCCUUCACUCUCAGCUCAAAUGCCAUUCCCACCCACGUGCUCUUCCUUCCUCCCUUACCAUCAGGAGCCAAGCUUUUGUUUUCGGUAGUGUCAACAUGGUAUGCUUACAAACAACCACACUCCAAGUCAGAGUCAUUUAUCAGAUGCAUCCUGUGUGCCAGGCCCAGGGCUGGUGGCUGGGGACACAGCUAGGGACAAUCUGAGACAUCUCUGCCCUUGUGGGCCUCAUCAGGAUGGAAGAUGGACAGUACGGAUAAAGUGGAACACAAGACCUGAUGUGGCAGAGGAAGGGUCUUUCCAGAUCAGGUGUAUUGGAUCCACUGUCUGACUGCCUUGCAACCCCUGCAUCUUCCUGAGGCCUCCAGUCUGAAGAAGCAGCCACGUGAGAACCCAGCAAGAAGGGAGCCAUCUGCCAGUCAGAAAGCGAGCUUUCACCAGACUCCAGAUCUGCUGGCACCUUGAUCUGGGCUACUCAGCCUCCAGAACCCUCCAGAACAAUGACAAUCUCCACACCAUCCAGGCUGCCUUAGAGCCCAGCGAAUAUUCAAACAAGUCCUCGCAUAUGCAUGACCGCAGCAGUGCUGUCGUGAAAAAUUACCAAGCCACAAUCACCAAAACAUGGAAACAGUCCAAGAGGAAAACAAUCUAAGAUCAACUCCAAAAUCAAGGGGAUGGGGGUGGAGGAAAUGAGUGGAUUAAUCAAAUGUGGCUCGGGAGUUCCCAUUGUGGCACAGUGGAAAUGAAUCCAACCAGGAACCAUGAGGAUGCAGGUUCGAUCCCAGUCCCUCCCUGCCCAUUGAGUUAAGGAUCCAGCGUUGCUGUGA